GGAGAGUUGGCAGAGUGGU
rnacentral:misc_RNA from 1 species